rnacentral:tRNA from 1 species
GUUCUUAUAGUUGAAAUACAACGAUGAUUUUUCAUGUCAUUAGUCAUGGUUAAAUUCCAUGUAGGAAUAAUG